rnacentral:rRNA from 1 species
GCUUGUCUCAAAGAUUAAGCCAUGCAUGUCUAAGUAUAAACGACUCUAUACUGUGAAACUGCGUACGGCUCAUUAAACCAGUUAUAGUUUAUUUGAUAUUCCCCUACUACUCGGAUAACCGUAGUAAUUCUAGAGCUAAUACAUGCGUAAAUACCCAACUGCUUGUCGGACGGGUAGCAUUUAUUAGAUUGAAACCAAUGCAGCUUCGGCUGGUAUUGUGUUGAGUCAUAAUAACUGUGCGGAUCGCUUUUUAAGCGAUAAAUCGAUUGAGUUUCUGCCCUAUCAGCUUUGGAUGGUAGGAUAUGGGCCUACCAUGGCGUUAACGGGUAACGGGGAAUUAGGGUUUGAUUCCGGAGAGGGAGCCUUAGAAACGGCUACCACAUCCAAGGAAGGCAGCAGG